CCUGAAUCAGUGUGUGUGUUAGUGGAAGCGUCUGGAAAGGCGCGCGAUACAGGGUGACAGCCCCGUACACAAAAAUGCACAUGCUGUGAGCUCGAUGAGUAGGGCGGGACACGUGGUAUCCUGUCUGAAUAUGGGGGGACCAUCCUCCAAGGCUAAAUACUCCUGACUGACCGAUAGUGAACCAGUACCGUGAGGGAAAGGCGAAAAGAACCCCGGCGAGGGGAGUGAAAAAGAACCUGAAACCGUGUACGUACAAGCAGUGGGAGCACGCUUAGGCGUGUGACUGCGUACCUUUUGUAUAAUGGGUCAGCGACUUAUAUUCUGUAGCAAGGUUAACCGAAUAGGGGAGCCGAAGGGAAACCGAGUCUUAACUGGGCGUUAAGUUGCAGGGUAUAGACCCGAAACCCGGUGAUCUAGCCAUGGGCAGGUUGAAGGUUGGGUAACACUAACUGGAGGACCGAACCGACUAAUGUUGAAAAAUUAGCGGAUGACUUGUGGCUGGGGGUGAAAGGCCAAUCAAACCGGGAGAUAGCUGGUUCUCCCCGAAAGCUAUUUAGGUAGCGCCUCGUGAAUUCAUCUCCGGGGGUAGAGCACUGUUUCGGCAAGGGGGUCAUCCCGACUUACCAACCCGAUGCAAACUGCGAAUACCGGAGAAUGUUAUCACGGGAGACACACGGCGGGUGCUAACGUCCGUCGUGAAGAGGGAAACAACCCAGACCGCCAGCUAAGGUCCCAAAGUCAUGGUUAAGUGGGAAACGAUGUGGGAAGGCCCAGACAGCCAGGAUGUUGGCUUAGAAGCAGCCAUCAUUUAAAGAAAGCGUAAUAGCUCACUGGUCGAGUCGGCCUGCGCGGAAGAUGUAACGGGGCUAAACCAUGCAC
rnacentral:rRNA from 1 species